UGUCCCGCCGGCCCCGGCCUCGCCGCCCCGCGCAGUGCCCAGCCCGGCCCUGCCGACCCGCUUCUACCGCUGGCUCCGCGCCCUUCCCCGAGGGCUGGAUGAUGGGCUCUUUCGCCCUGCAAACGGUGGACACCGAGCUGACCGCGGACUCGGUGGAGUGGUGCCCGCUGCAAGGCUGCAGGCACCUGCUGGCGUGCGGGACCUACCAGCUGCGGCGGCCGGAGGACCGGCCUGCCGGCCCCCAGAACAAGGUGUCACAUCCCGGUGGGUGGACAUGCCCUCUUGGGCUUGGCAGAUGCCAGUGGAUCCAUACAACUGCUCCGCCUGGUGGAAUAUGAGGUCAGUGACUUGCACUUGUUCUGUGGGGCAGAAGGGACUUGAAUAGAGAGGGUUGGGGAGGAGGCUGUGCUGAUAAAGACAUUUUUCUAGAACGAUCUCUCUUUAAUGGUGAGCUAUAUAUAAACGUUCUAAGAUAACGUGAAGUCUAUUUUUAAGUUGUAUUGCAUUCUACAUCCAACUCCAAGAGGAAGUCACCUCAUGUGUCACUAUAAGGGCUGAAGUGACAGGAUGUUCACUGACCUGUCAGUGAAUCUGAAAGUUCUCCAAUGACAGCCUGGGCAAGCAUUCUUAGGUUGAUGCUGGGGCCCAGAGUAGCAGUGAGCAUUCUGUGUGAAGAUGGCGUUUCUCACUGAUUAUUGGAAAAGCUUUAGAAGAGCCACGUGCUGGAGCCAUUGUCCAGCCUUGCCCUGGAGGAGCAGUGUCUGGCUUUGUCCCUAGAUUGGUCCACUGGGAAAACUGGAAGGGCCGGGGACCAGCCCUUGAAGAUCAUCAGCAGUGACUCCACAGGGCAGCUUCACCUCCUGAUGGUGAAUGAGACGGGGCCCAGGCUGCAGAAAGUGGCCUCAUGGCAGGCACAUCA
rnacentral:sRNA from 1 species